UAGAAAGCAGGGGUGGCCUGGGACCCUCCCUCCCACCCGCCUGUGCCUGCUUUCCAGUUUCCCUUGCUGGAGGCCAUGGGGAUCAGAGCAGUCUGGUGUGACAGACAGAAACCAGUCUUGGGGUCAUAGAACCCUGGUAGGGUGAUCCCUCAGUUACUUAUUCUAUCCCCGAUUUUGGCACCGAGUGGGAAUACUAACUCACAAAGAAGACUGUGUGUGAACGGUUUCAUCCUCAACCACAAAGCCUAUCAGAGGGCCACAGCUGCUGUCCCCAUCCCCAUUCUUCUCUCCCAGAUACCCCCCCUCUUUCUGUGUGUGUGUGUGUGUGUGUGUGUGUGUGUGUGUGUGUGUGUGUAUGUGUGUGUGAGUGAAAAUGGUUUUGAAGUGAGUAGGUUACUGCUCAGGUUGAUGUCCUAGACCCACAUCUGGAUUUCCCUUAGUGCCCUUCACACCUGGUGUAUGUGGUACUCAAUGCCUGGUCCUCACUGUGUGAGCCAUCCCUGGGCAGCCUCAUGCCAAACUUCCAGAAAGGCCCAGGUGUUGGAUGUCUGAGCCUUGGGGCGGUCGAGAGCCACACAAGGUCUCAGUCACAUGUUCUCUCCGUGUUUUUUCUUUGCUCACUAUCUUUGAAAAACACAAAAGCCAUUCUUAACUCAUAGGUCCCGCAAAAGCUGGCUGAUAACUAAAGGUAGGUGGGUACUGGAAAGAGGAGAUGCUUGACAUCCAGCCUUGCGUAGCUGUGUGACCGUGAACUUUCGUUUAACCUCUUUCAGACACAAUAAUGCUGACCCAACUCCAGGCUUUUCAUUAGUGUCAAAGUGGAGCAUGUACUGAGCACCCUUUGGGCACCAGGUGCUGAGUGAGAACUGGGUGUACUCAGGCAUCCCUCCCCCCCAGAGCGCCUUUGCUGUGCCAAUGGGUCAGGGCUCUCCGUCGGGGACUGUGGAAGCACGCAGUCCAGAAGAGGGGGGGCUUUCUCUCUCCUGUGUGGCCUGAGGUCAGGAGAAGGCUCGAGGCUCUGGAAAUGUGAGAUUUUAAAUUGUGUUCUCUCUCCCUCUCUCCCUUCUACCUCUUUUUCUCCCUCCUUCUCGGCCCAUCCCUCUCCCUCCCGAUUCUCUCAAAAUACAGGGAGAAAUGGCUGGCUCUCCUAAUUGUCAGGGUACCCCAUCAUUACUCAGCCUGUGCCACCUCAGGGCUUCUUUGGAAGGGUUCAGCUGGGACCUACCUCCUAGGAUGUCACUCAGCAGUGUCCAGAAACCCUGUUCAUUUCUACCUCCUUACACUUGGGCUUUCCCUGGCCUAGGCACGUUAUUGCAUCAUCUCAGUUAAUCCUUAUAAACCUAUGAGGUGUCUUUCUGACUCCUAUUACAGAGGCUUAGGGCAACCAAAUAACUUGUUCAGAGUCACUUAACUGGUAAGUAGUCUAAAAUCUGAGUCCAAGCAGUUCGCAAUUCCAGCGCCCUCCCUCCUAGUUACAAAAUUAUAUUGCCUCUCUUCAUUACUUGUAAUUGUCCCAAACUGUAAUUAGAAGUUUAUGGGUCUGUAAGCAUCUUAUGAGCGGAGACUGUGACUUACUCAUUUCAGCUGUCCUGGAAUGUAGUACAUAGUAUAAUGCACACAGUAGGUGCCUAAUGGAUGUUUAUGGAGUGAAGGGUUGAGGCCACUGAGGAAGGCGAUGCAUCUUAAACAGGCACGGGAGACAGACGUAUGGGGACAGCAUUGAGGGGAGGGGGCUUCUGGAGCCCUGCAGGGGUGGGAGGUGCUUGGGGAAGCCCGUGUCACACCACCUUGCAAUUGCCAUUCUAGUGAAGGCGGCAGAAUCGUGUCUUGACUCACUACAAGGCCGAGGAUGCUUUGCACACAGGUGCUCCCAAGUCCAGAAUAAAGAAGAGCUAUUUAAAUCCUUAGACGACAUACACACGAAGAGCCAGCACGCAUCCCCGUAGGAUGGGCUUGGGCAAAGGCGCCCCCUGAAGCUGGAGGACCUGGAUGGAAAGGCACAGGGCACACCAUCCACUAUCCUGCAGCCGCUACCUGCAGUUCCAGCUGGACUCCCAACUCCUGACCGAUCCACUUCAGACAGAGUCCCUUCUCUGGCCGGGAGAUGGAUGCUGGGAGAGAUGGAGGAAGGGUGCUCCCUGAACGCCUCCUGACGGCUCUGCAGAGGUGAGUCAAGUGGAGUCCUGGCUUUCCAGCUCCUUGGCUAGACGACAAGUCCUCCCACCUCCGCAGGCUUCAGCUUCUUCAUCUAUGAGAUGAGGACCACAGGCUCCCCCACCUGAGGAUCAGAUGAGGACAGACGCGAGAAAGAGUCCUUGUGGAUCCCGGCACCCUGCAUCAAUGGGGUUGGGUUUCUGCACUCACUGUGGAACGGCCGGCCAGGGCUGGAGCUGGACCCGCCUCUUCUCCCUUUGGGCCUCCUCUUCCUUUUCAAUAAACUUCCUUCCUC